ensembl:lncRNA
CAGUCGAAGUACUAGUUGCAUGCCACGUGUGUCCAGAGAGCAGCAUCAAUGUCCACGUGAAGAACCUGGUUAUGUUGCCAGUGUCAACCCAACAAAAGUGUGUGGAACUGAGGUGCUUCGUCAGGAGCUCCUUCAGUUGUUGGAGGAUGGAGAAGAGGACGCAGCCAUGACUUGUGAGACGUCGUCUGAGUCAGCUGCUACUCACUGGGCGAUCAGAAAUAUGGUGUCCUCGCAAAAGUGGAAAGAGGCCAGGCCUUGUCUUAUAGACAAUAUGUUAGCUACUCUGGAUCCACAGUCACACCGUGUGUGUCAGUGUGGCAAACAAGUAGUUGUGAGGUGUCU